rnacentral:rRNA from 1 species
GAGAAUUAGGGUUCGAUUCCGGAGAGGGAGCCUGAGAAACGGCUACCACAUCUACGGAAGGCAGCAGGCGCGCAAAUUGCCCAAUCCCGACACGGGGAGGCAGUGACAAGAAAUAACAACUCUUGGAUUUCUAAGAAGUGUAAUGAGGAUAAUUUACAACCCUUACCGAAAGCAAUUGGAGGGCAAGUCUGGUGCCAGCAGCCGCGGUAAUUCCAGCUCCAAUAGCGUAUAUUAAAGUUGUUGCAGUUAAAAAGCUCGUAGUUGAAGUUCUGAUUGUUCGGGCCUCGCGCUUUAUAGCCGAGGAACCGACAGUCAUCCGCUUGCAAAUAUAUGUUCGCCUUUAACCGGGUGGCUAUAUGAGUAAGCAAUUUACCUUGAGAAAAACAGAGUGUUCCAGGCAGGUUGUCCGGAAUGCAUUAGCAUGGAAUAAUAGAAUAUGACUGAAGUCGAUUUAUUGGUUUAAGGCUUUAGUAAUGAUUAAUAGGAACAGUCGGGG